rnacentral:rRNA from 1 species
ACUGCUAUCGGGGUGGGACUAAGACAUGCGAGUCGAGCGUCUCUAGCUAUGUUGAGACGCGGCAGACGGCUCAGUAACGCGUGGCUAACCUACCCUCAGGACGAGGACAAACCCGGGAAACUGGGGCUAAUACUCGAUAGGUGAGGAUGCCUGGAAUGGUUUCUCACCCAAAGGACUUGGAAACAUGCUUCCUUUGUCGCCUGAGGAUGGGGCCGCGCCCGAUCAGGUUGUUGGUGAGGUAAUGGCUCACCAAGCCUAUAACCGGUACGGGCCGUGAGAGCGGUAGCCCGGAGAUGGGUACUGAGACAAGGACCCAGGCCCUACGGGGCGCAGCAGUCGCGAAAACUCCGCAAUGCACGAAAGUGUGACGGGGCUACCCCGAAUGCCAUCCGCUGAGGAUGGCUUUUCUUUGGUAUAACUAGCCAGGGGAAUAAGGAGAGGGCAAGACUGGUGUCAGCCGCCGCGGUAAUACCAGCUCUCCGAGUGGUAGGGAUGAUUAUUUGGCUUAAAGCGUCCGUAGCCGGCUUAGCGAGUCUCCUGUUAAAUUCAGCGACCUAAUCGUUGAGCCGCGGGAGAUACUACUAGGCUAGGAGGCGGGAGAGGUCAACAGUACUUCCGGGGUAGGGGUGAAAUCCUAUAAUCCCAGGAAGACCACCAGUGGCGAAGGCUGUCUGCUAGAACGCGCCCGACGGUGAGGGAUGAAAGCUGGGGGAGCGAACCGGAUUAGAUACCCGGGUAGUCCCAGCUGUAAACGAUGCAGGUUAGGUGUUUGGACGGCCACGUGCCGUUCUAGUGCCGCAGGGAAGCUGUUAAGCCUGCCGCCUGGGGAGUACGAUCGCAAGAUUGAAACUUAAAGGAAUUGGCGGGGGAGCACCACAAGGGGUGAAGCUUGCGGUUUAAUUGGAGUCAACGCCGGAAAUCUCACCGGGAGCGACAGCAGUGUGAAGGCCAGAUUAAAGGUCUUGCCAGACGAGCUGAGAGGAGGUGCAUGGCCGUCGCCAGUUCGUGCCGUGAGGUGUCCUGUUAGGUCAGGCAACGAUCGAGACCCGCGUCCUCUGUUGCUACUAGCCUUGAGCUGGGCACACUGAGGAGACCGCCACUGAUAAAGUGGAGGAAGGAGCGGGCCACGGCAGGUCAGUAUGCCCCGAAUCUCCCGGGCCACACGCGAGCUGCAAUGGCAGGUACAAUGGGUUCCGACCUCGAAAGAGGGAGGCAAUCUCGAAAGCCUGCCGUAGUUGGAAUUGAGGGUUGAAACCCACCCUCAUGAACAUGGAAUCCCUAGUAAUCGCGUGUCACUAGCGCGCGGUGAAUACGUCCCUGCUCCUUGCACACACCGCCCGUCGUUCCAUCCGAGUGACUUUUGGGUGGGGUGCCGUCUUCUUGGCGGUAUCGGAUCUAAGUUUCACAAGGAGGG